rnacentral:lncRNA from 1 species
CCUCUCCUUUUUACCUUGGCAGCACCUCUUUUACCCCUCUUCCAUUAUUAAUGUUCACGCAAAUGCCCCCAAAUGUUUCCACAACACCUCUAGUGUGCUAGUGCACCACUUCCAACAAAGAUAUAUCAUGCUCAUGUGGAAAAUAUGAGCAACCCUUCUAAUACUUGAUUUUUGGCAGAAAUGUUGCCUUGAACUACAAGUGCUAGCUACAGUCCUCUCCCUAAGCUGAAACUUCGUAGUCUUGAAGUUAUUGUAUAGCCAAGGCUACUAGACAUGGUGUCAUCCCAAGUCCCCCAGUAGAAACCCUUUUUGCUAGCCCCAAGUUUGUUGCUGUAAACUUAACCACAGAUGAAACCCAUCCUACAUAGACCCAUAUGGGUCCAAACUCCUCCAUCACCUUUUACCAUAUGGGCCUCACACUC